UCAAAAUUAUCUUUCCCCCAUCUAUUAUCACAACUCUAAGCAAAAUCAAACAGUGGCAAAUUUCUUCAAUUGUUAUGCUAUGUUGUGGAAAUUCAUAUCAUCGGACCAUAUCUCUACAAAACCCACCAACAACUGAAUCAUUUGGCUCUUUGCCACAUAGCAGCAAAGGCAUCUUCUCCUCAGCCUCUCUCUAUCAGUUUAUAAACUCCAAAGGGGUGAGAUGCAGAUUUGCUUCUUCAUUUUGUCAUGUCAAGGUGCCACUCAAGGUAAAAUCCUUCUUAUGGCUUUGCUAGAAAAAGAAAGUCAACACCCAAUACAUCAUUUGUAUGAAGAUCAGGAAGA
rnacentral:lncRNA from 1 species